UUUCUAUUUUUUAUUCUAUUAUUUAAAAAAAUUGAAUAUUAUUUAAUAAAAUAUUGCUUUUCCCGCGCGAUUUAGAGUAGAAGAAAAGUUAUGCGACAUCAGCCAAUCAGAAAACUGCUUGAUGUGCUAUUACGCGGGAAGUCAUUCUACUGUCGAAAAUCAUGGCGAUAGAAUGUGUCAUCCCGCUGAGGUGUAUGACUUCGAUUAUCAACGUCGUAUUUUCAUUCCUAACUUUUCCAGUUUAUAGAUUAUUAUAUUGUAUAAUUGAUCGUGAAGAUGAGAAAAAGAAAAACUGAGAAGGGACAAAGGCAUUUUGAACGAUAUUCAACGAAUUCGAUAAUUUUUCAUGCAGAGCUGCCAACUUCUAAUAAAGACGUAUGUACACGUUGGCAUUAUUUUUUAAUUAGAUUAGUAAGAAAUAUUAUAUAUAAUUGACAUACAUACAUAUAUUGUACGAAUGAUUCAAUUUUAGAAAUAACUUUUAUAUUUCGUAAAUAUUUUGUAAGAUUGUAAUAUCGUCAUUCGAGUUUCAUUGUUGAUUGUUAUUUUCAUGAAAUUGUAAACACAGGUGCGUUUAGUUUUCGAAGAAAAGUUGAUGUAUGUAUGUAUUGAUGUAUUCAUGAUAGAAUAUAUCUAGAAAAAGAAACGAAUAUUAGAAGAAAAAGAAAAAAAAUACGAAACAAAUGUUUUACUUUUCUUUUAAUUUUUCUUCUUCUUUUACUAAUACAAUUUUAUUUCCACAGCAUUGUUGUGAUCAUGUGCAAUGCGACCAUUAAAAUCAGUGUUUGUUGCGUAAUAAUAUUUUUAAUAUUUUUUGAAAUAUAACUUUUGUAUUAAUUAUACGUUCAAUUAUAAUAGUAAAAAUUAAAAGCACGCGAAAUUAGAGUCAGUGAUUGUUCGUUAAACAUAAUUCGAACGCGUUAAUAGUCUUUUAUUUAUUCAUUUCUUUUUUCUUUUAAAAUAUUCGUUUUCGGUAAUAGAGUCAGUGUUUUCAAGAGAAUUCAGAAAUCAUGCCUUCGGAAAUCAAAAAUUUUUCUAUAACAUUUGGUGGUUACUAGUAACGUUGAUGAUAGGAGCAUCUAUAAUAAUAUUCUCCGCAUCUAAUGGUAAGUCGUAUGCAUUUUUAUUUUUUCAUUUGCUUUCAAUCAUAUCCAAAGAAUAAAAUCCGAAAUUAUGAAUAACUGAUAUAUAUUUAUUAUAUAAUAUAUUCGACAAAUUAUAAUGAUUUUAUGUAUUUAUUAUAUCCGUAAGCAAUAAGUUAAUUAGAUUUAAGGUUAGGAAUAUCGUAGAACGUUAUUUUAUAUUCGAUGUCACAAAUAUCGAUUUAAAUAGUUUCUCAUAUAAUCGUAAUUAGUUCUUAAUCAACAUUAACCUUCUUCUAUAUUUGAUGCAACGGUUUCGGAAUAAUUUCGAUCGCAUCUAGUAAAUAAUUAUAGUCUGAUUCGUUUCAUUCAUCAUCCGUAUAUUGCAUUCCGUAGUUCAAAUUCGAUCCGAGCAAUCAAAAGAAGAUGUUUCGACUUUUGUUCGUAAAUAGAUAUGAGAAUUGAAAGUUACUACCGCUAGAAUAUCAGUCACGAUCGAGUCAAAUGUACUGUGACGAGUUCGUCGAUCAGCCCGGGGCGCGAAUUCAGAAUCGAUCUCAGGUGAACACAUACUUCUGAUACUAUUAUGCCGUACAAUCAUGAAUAGAUGCUCAGGGGGUUCUCAUCAUUUCGCAUACAAUAUAGUAGUAGUCUAAAUGGUAUGAGAAGAACGAUCGAACAUUAAUCGUGGCUUACUUGACACGAUCCAAUCGUGAGAAAUUUAUACGAAAAAAUAAAGGGAAAUUGAUAGAACUCGAUUUUUAAAAAAUCAUUAUGAUAUUAUGAUAUUUUAAUAGAGUUGAUUAUAUUAUAUCGAAUUAUAUUAUUUCUUUUUUCUUUUUUUUCUCUUUUUAACAUUCGAUAGUCGAGAUAUGCUAAGAGACAACAACAGAGAGAUAAUAUAAUUUUUUGGCGGACUCGAUCUCGUGCGGAGAUUCAUUAUACACAGAGUUCCGAAGUCAGAACAGAUCGAUUAACGCGUCAAUUUGCAUUUAAGCGUAACUAACUUAAUGCGGCCUGCAGAUGCAUACAUGCAAACUAAGUUGUGUCCUUACAAAUGAUGGCUUGAACCGAGGACCAUUUGUUACUCGUGCCCCGAACAAAUUUCUGUUUUGCAUAAUGGUGCAGAUAGUAUAUGCUCUGGAUGUUGAUUCACAUUUUCUAACACUGUCCCCGAAAUAGCCAUUUUUCUACGUUCCUUUCUUAGACGAAUUUCCAAAUUAAAAUAAUUGGAGACAUCGUAGCUAAAAAGAGAAAGAUCGGUUUUUUCUGAAAUUUUAUUUUAUUUCCCAAUUAUCGCCUAAUAAAGAAAUAAACGUGGGGGCGAAGUGGCAGGAAACGUUGAACUUAACUUAAAUUAAGACGGUGGUCGGCGGAACAACGAGGUGUCGAUAAUGAAUCUUGGCGUUAAUUAGAGUCCGAAGGUGAGACGAUAGAUAGGUUGGUCGUGGCAUACCGAUAUCUUCUUCUCAGUCUUGCGCACACAUCGCGAAGUAAAGCCUAACUGAAACGUCACGCCACUUGUUACUCGUUAGUGUGCACGAUGCCAUCUUUACUGUUGGCCACUCGGCCGGGUUACUCCUACGGUAGCCGCAUCGAUACGUGAACGGGCGUGUAAUUAACAAUGUUCCCCGCCUUUGUCCGACCUUGGUCAUGAAGCCUCUUGCCUAGAUUUUCGUCAGAGAUCGUAUUGAAUCGAGACACGCAUACCUGGUUGCUCUCUAUUAUCGGAAACAUUUCCCCAAACGUUUGAUCAAAAUUAAAUUUAUCUCGGCAUUUUAAGGGAGGAAAUUGGAUAGAGGAAUGACUUUUCCCAAAUUUUAUUAGAUAGAUUUUUUUCAAAGAGAAAGUUUAUGAUUUUCGUGUCGAAUUAGACAAGGAAUUAGAGAAGUUGGCCGGUAGAGGAAGAACUCUUACAGAUCGCAUCAGAUGGAGUCAGUUGGUUCGUCCAGCAAGGGGACAAGAAGGAGGCUUGGUCCAAUCUCGAAGGUAUCUUUGGAGCGUGGACAGAGAGUGCUUCCAUUACGCUGGGCGGUGGUCCCUCGUUAUAUCCGGGACAGGCAAGUCCGUGGCUGCUCAUCUGAUAGUCCGAGGAUUUAUGGCGGCCCUGAUGGUUCAUUUAGCGCUGACAUGACUGGACAGGGGCGGGUCGAGACGGUUUUACGUACGUUGUGUGCGUGCGCUAACGCGACAAUACGGAAAUAUCUUGUUAAAAACAGGUUGAGUAACGCUAUAGAUUGGCCGAUUUAACUGCAUACGCAUCAUCCGUCAAGUGCAUCAAUUGGGAAAUAAGCCUAAACUGCGCCUCGAAAAACCUUUAUUAAAUAGUUGGCCGUUGGUUAAUCGCGGAGAGGCAGGGCGCGCGCUCGUUUCCAGCCACCACAGAUAUUAACCGAAAUUUGUCAACGUUGUCAUUCUCGCCCGUGAAUUAUAUGGUCGAGCGAUGCUCCCUUUGAACGAGAGAGGGAAGGAAUAAAAUUAGCUUCGGAAGCAAGAGGUGAAUCCGACGAACGUCUCUCAUCCCGUGCGUUUAAAUUUGAAAAUUCUUCCUCGAUAAUCGAAUUACCCCACGCCUCGCCCCUCCUCGGGCAUCUUUUUACACUUGUUAUCACGACGAUUCAUCGCAGCAUCGGAGAGGCUCGCUCAAGCGUGCGUUUUGCAAUCGUGUCUCGGACAUACCAUAAAAGUUACACAUGGUUGAUUUUCCAUCUUUCCUUUAGUCUUCUCCUCCGCGCAGCCGCAUCAAUGUCGAAACUCUCGUCUGGACGGGUGCGCGCGUAAAUUACCCGCGGCUAGCAGUAAAACUCGUACGUUCGCGAUUCGAUCCCUUCGAUAUUCCACUGUUACUUUCCAACAUUCAUCCGUGAAAUUGGCGGCGAAACCGUACUUAAUCCAUCAAUAGCACCGCGACCGAAUAAUUUUAAUUGCUUUUCUUCCCAACUCUUCCCUCUUGUAUGAAAACGUCGAUAAAUGUUCGUUACGAUUUGUUUGUUCGGGAUUUCUAAAUGUUUUUUUUUUUUUUCCGAUCCCGAUACGGUUCUCAACCAUCGACCGAAGGAAAACUGAUCCGUUGAACGGCUUCCUCGAACACGUACAGAGCCGCAUUCUUUUUCGAAACGAGGAAAUCCGUCGAAUUCCGUUUUCUAGGGAAUCGAAUUCCCUACAACCUUGAUAUACCUCAUGUCGAGUGACUGGUUAAAGCUAAUAAUCACGAACGCCCGUGUAUAUACACACACACUUUCCUUCUGCCAGUGAACCGAUUUCCGAGACCGAGCUACAUCAAUUGCGCAAUCGAAUUGGUCGAUCGCAACCUUGGCUACCGUAAAAACUACUCGCCUCGUGUUACUUAUCAUUCUCGAUACUCUUCGACACAUGGAAUCGAUUGCACCAUCGUCCAAGCCAAGAAUAUUUUUUCUCUUCUAGCCUCUCUUUCAUUUGCAUAAAUAGAUGUUGCUUCUUCUCGUCGAAAAGAAAAAGAAGAAGAAGAUGAAGCAGGAAAAAAAAACAAGUAUAUUUAUAGAUACAUCAAACACGUCGAGGGAAACGUUAUAUAAUUAUUUCAAAACAGAAGAAGAAAGAGGGGACGGUUGGCGAGGAAAGGCUGGAAAGUUCAGCUUGGUCGUUAAAAUCUUUUAGACAAGAAUGUUUCGUCUUGGCCCAGACGAAAUAAAUAUAAAUCUGCUCAUGAGCGAUGGCGGGGUCCAAUAGAAAAAUACGAAAAGUACGUUCGCGCGUACCUCCCUUUCGUCGUUCGUUCGUCUGAGAGAGCGAAAUGCGUAAAGAACGUUUUAUAGCGUUGGCUUUCUUGCGUAUGUAUGCAACGCUCGUGGUACAACGCCGCCGUGGGAAACGCGACACGAGCUCGCUCCUAAACCUGAAAAGUUGUUUCGAGAUAGAGGUCUCUUGGUAUUCGUAUAGGAACAGCUAGACUAUGGUUGGAUGGCGGAAGAAGGAGAGAUAGAGAGAGAGAGAGAGAGAAAAAAGAAAAAGUGAAAAAAAAUAAACAAAAGAACGAGCUUGGAUGAUCGAGCGCAAUAAAUUACUCAUUUGCCUGUCGUCAGGCACGAUCGAGCGUCAUCGAAACGUCACGCAACUCUUGGCGAGGAAAACGGAGAUCUUGAUCGAGAAAUUCAUCGAUCGAAGAAUAUCGAUUGCCUGGGUAUUCUUUUAAACGGAUGUUUCUUGGAUAGAACGUCUCGACACUUUUACCAGGGAAACGAUGAUGGAUGGUCGUUGCUGAUUAAAGGUCGUAGAUAGGUUAAAUCAGUUGAUGUAAUUACAAAUAGCAAGACUUUUUUAUCCAUCGAUGAUAGAUAUCGAUGAUGUGGAGUAAUGAUCCCGUGAUUAAUUUACGGUUAUAUCAAGUUUUCGUUAUCAUUUAGCGUAUUCGAUCCAUUCCCACAAACCGUUUCCUUUCGAACGAGUUACUUCCAAAUUACUUUCUUCCCGAAUUCGCGCUACGAACUCCCUCAAUCGAAUCUGCCCGAUCGAUUCAUUUCCCUUAAAAAAUCUCCUUCGCGAGAGAUCCUCCCGAACGAUACGCGCAAUGCGAUGACGAGACGAUGAUGAUCUCAACAAACGUGGCGACCAACGUUUUAUCCGCGGCUUAAUUAAUCAAAACGAGCCCUUCAACGCGCCGUUUCGCUUUACGGAGCGUUGCGACGAUCCGCCGAUUAUCCAGUAACAGACUUGUCGGCCCGCAUCGCUCCAAACGUUUCCUUUUCAUUGGUAUAUCCAACUUUGUCGCCCGUUUCUUGCUGCGCUGCUCCCGUCCAAUGAUCAGCUCCCUCGUAAAGAUCGUCAGAUAUGACAUGCGUUAUGGGCCUAGCUCCGUCCGUCUCCUCUCCCCUGCAACCGUACUUUCGUAGAAAUACAGCCGCGUAAUUCUCCUUAUGCCCGGUUGGCGUACUUCACGAUCUUUUGUUUCGUUAAAGUUGCCUCGUUACCGGUUGAGUUGCGAGUCCGGUGCCGUUUUAUCGAUGUUACAAAUACGGCGACGAAGUUUCCGACGACGAUCAUCGGAUCUCGAGAAAGAAAUAUCAGAACUUCUUUCUCCCUUCCCUCUUAGGGGUUAGGAAAGAGAUCUUAUAAAAAGAUGGAAUUGUUCUCGCUUCGUUCGGUUAAGUUAAAGGCGAUUUUCAACCGUGAAAAUGUUGCUUCUCUGUAAUUGACUUUGGCUAUGCAAGAUGGAAUCACGGUGACGCCAUAAAGGGUAUUAGUAUGCUAUUGAGUAGACGAGACGGUUUAUACCGAUCGUUUUAG
rnacentral:lncRNA from 11 species